rnacentral:rRNA from 1 species
CGAAAGCCUGACGGAGCAAGACCGCGUGGGGGAGGAAAGCCUUUGGGUUGUAAACCCCUUUUCUCAGGGAAGAAGAAAGUGACGGUACCUGAGGAAUCAGCCUCGGCUAACUCCGUGCCAGCAGCCGCGGUAAUACGGAGGAGGCAAGCGUUAUCCGGAAUGAUUGGGCGUAAAGCGUUCGUAGGUGGCAAUUCAAGUCUGCUGUCAAAGACAGUAGCUCAACUACUGCAAGGCAGUGGAAACUGAAUAGCUAGAGUGCGGUAGGGGCAGAGGGAAUUCCCGGUGUAGCGGUGAAAUGCGUAGAGAUCGGGAAGAACACCGGUGGCGAAAGCGCUCUGCUGGGCCGCAACUGACACUGAGGGACGAAAGCUAGGGGAGCGAAUGGGAUUAGAUACCCCAGUAGUC